AGAGUUUGAUCCUGGCUCAGAUUACUUGCUGGCGGCAGGCCUAACACAUGCAAGUCGAACGGUAACAGGAAGAAGCUUGCUUCUUUGCUGACGAGUGGCGGACGGGUGAGUAAUGUCUGGGAAACUGCCUGAUGGAGGGGGAUAACUACUGGAAACGGUAGCUAAUACCGCAUAACGUCGCAAGACCAAAGAGGGGGACCUUCGGGCCUCUUGCCAUCGGAUGUGCCCAGAUGGGAUUAGCUAGUAGGUGGGGUAACGGCUCACCUAGGCGACGAUCCCUAGCUGGUCUGAGAGGAUGACCAGCCACACUGGAACUGAGACACGGUCCAGACUCCUACGGGAGGCAGCAGUGGGGAAUAUUGCACAAUGGGCGCAAGCCUGAUGCAGCCAUGCCGCGUGUAUGAAGAAGGCCUUCGGGUUGUAAAGUACUUUCAGCGGGGAGGAAGGGAGUAAAGUUAAUACCUUUACUCAUUGACGUUACCCGCAGAAGAAGCACCGGCUAACUCCGUGCCAGCAGCCGCGGUAAUACGGAGGGUGCAAGCGUUAAUCGGAAUUACUGGGCGUAAAGCGCACGCAGGCGGUUUGUUAAGUCAGAUGUGAAAUCCCCGGGCUCAACCUGGGAACUGCAUCUGAUACUGGCAAGCUUGAGUCUCGUAGAGGGGGGUAGAAUUCCAGGUGUAGCGGUGAAAUGCGUAGAGAUCUGGAGGAAUACCGGUGGCGAAGGCGGCCCCCUGGACGAAGACUGACGCUCAGGUGCGAAAGCGUGGGGAGCAAACAGGAUUAGAUACCCUGGUAGUCCACGCCGUAAACGAUGUCGACUUGGAGGUUGUGCCCUUGAGGCGUGGCUUCCGGAGCUAACGCGUUAAGUCGACCGCCUGGGGAGUACGGCCGCAAGGUUAAAACUCAAAUGAAUUGACGGGGGCCCGCACAAGCGGUGGAGCAUGUGGUUUAAUUCGAUGCAACGCGAAGAACCUUACCUGGUCUUGACAUCCACGGAGGUUUUCAGAGAUGAGAAUGUGCCUUCGGGAACCGUGAGACAGGUGCUGCAUGGCUGUCGUCAGCUCGUGUUGUGAAAUGUUGGGUUAAGUCCCGCAACGAGCGCAACCCUUAUCCUUUGUUGCCAGCGGUCCGGCCGGGAACUCAAAGGAGACUGCCAGUGAUAAACUGGAGGAAGGUGGGGAUGAUGUCAAGUCAUCAUGGCCCUUACGACCAGGGCUACACACGUGCUACAAUGGCGCAUACAAAGAGAAGCGACCUCGCGAGAGCAAGCGGACCUCAUAAAGUGCGUCGUAGUCCGGAUUGGAGUCUGCAACUCGACUCCAUGAAGUCGGAAUCGCUAGUAAUCGUGGAUCAGAAUGCCACGGUGAAUACGUUCCCGGGCCUUGCACUCACCGCCCGUCA
rnacentral:rRNA from 1 species